rnacentral:Y_RNA from 1 species
AGCUGGUCCGAUGGUAGUGGGUUAUCAGGACUUACUAACAUUAAUGUCACUAAAGUUGGUAUUCAACCCCCCCACACACUGAUAAAUUUGACAGGCUUUAA